rnacentral:lncRNA from 1 species
GGAGAAUUAGGAAAAAGCCCAUGAAUUAUUCAAUGCUGUCCACCGUAACUCAGGGAAAGGAAGAAAAUCCUUCUGCCUUCCUUGAGCAGCUACAGGAGGCCUUAAGAAAAUAUACUCCCGUCGCCCAAAUCACUCAAGGGUCAAUUGAUCCUAAAAGGUAAGUUUAUUACCCAAUCGGCUGCAGAUAUCAGGAGAAAGCUCCAAAAGCAAGCCCUGGGCCCUGAACAAAAUCUGGAGGCAUUAUUAACCUGGCAACCUCGGUGUUCUAUAAUAGGGACAGGCCCAAAAGGAAAAGUGAGAUCAGAGAAAGGCCACAGCCUUAGUCAUAGCCUUCAGACAAACAAACCUUGGUGGUUCAGAGAGGACAGAAAAUGGGGCAGGUCAAUCACCCGGUAGGGCUUGUUAUCAAUGUGGUUUACAAGGACACUUUAAGAAAGAUUGUCCAAUGAGAAAUAAGCCGCCCCCUCAUCCAUGUCCACUAUGCUGGGGCAAUCACUGGAAGGUGCACUGCCCCAGAAGACAAAGGUUCUCUGGGUCAGAAGCCCCCAACCGGAUGAUCCAACAACAGGAUUGAGGGUGCCCGGGGCAAGCGCCAGCUCAUGUCAUCAUACUCACUGAGCCCCAGAAUGGAGGCCAUCAAGCUAUAGAUGGUCUUACAAAUGGAACCCCAAAUGAGCUCAACUAACAACUUCUACCGAGGACCCCUGGACCAACCCGCUGGCCCUUCCACUGGCCUAAAGAGUUCCCCUCUGGAGGACACUACAACUGCAGGGCCCCUUCUUCGCCCCUAUCCAGCAGGAAGUAGCUAGAGUGGUCAUCAGCCAAAUUCCCAACAGCAGUUGGGGGUAUCCUGUUUAGACGGGGGAUUGAGAGGUGACAACGUGCUAGCAGCCCUCGCUCGCUCUCGGCGCCCCCUCGGCCACGGCGUCGGCUCUGGCUGUGCUCGAGGAGCCCUUCAGCCCACGGCUGCACUGUAGGGGCCUCCUCUCUGGGGCUGGCCGAGGCCAGAGCCGGCUCCCUCUGCUCACAGGGAGGUGUGAAGGGAGAGGUGCAGGCGGGAGCCAGCGUGGGUUCCGGGUGGGCGCAGGCUCGGCAGGCCCCGCACUUGGCGCCACCAGCCAGCGCCUGCUGGGCUUGAUCGGGGGACAAGCUCCCACUGGGCUGUCGGAGUGCCCAGGCUAGGUGCCGCAAAGUCCCGCAGCCAGUGCCAUUGAGAGGUGAAGCCAGCUGGGCUUCUGGGUCGGGUGGGGACCUGGAGAACUUUUCUGUCUAGCUAAAGGUUUGUAAAUGUACCAAUCAGCACUCUGUGUCUACCUAAAAGUUUGUAAACACACCAAUCAGCACUCUGUGUCUAGCUAAUGGUUUGUAAACGCACCAGUCAGCGUUCUGUGUCUAGCUAAUCAGGUAGGGGACUUGGAGAACUUUUGUGUCUUGCUAAGGGAUUGUAAACGCACCAAUCAGCACUCUGUGUCUAACUAAAGGUGUAAACGCACCAAUCAGCGCUCUGUCAAAACGGACCAAUCAGCUCUCUGUAAAAUGGACCAAUCAGCUCUCUGUAAAAUGGACCAAUCAGCAGGCUGUGGGUGGGGCCAGAUAAGGGAAUAAAAGCAGGCCACCCAAGCCAGCAGCACCAACCUGCUGGGUCCCCAUCCAUGCUGAGGAAGCUUUGUUCUUUCGUUCUUUGCAAUAAAUCUUACUGCUGCUCACGCUUUGGGUCCGUGCCACCUUUAAGAGCUGUAACACUCACCGCAAAGGUCUGCAGCUUCACUCCUGAGGCCAGCAAGACCAGGAACCCACCAGAAGGAACUAACACCUCCAGACAGGCCGCCUUUAUGAACUGUAACACUCACCGCAAAGGUUUGUAGCUUCAUUCCUGAAGUCAGAGAGACCAAGAACCCACCAAUUCCAGACACAGAACAAUAGAAAUUUAUGAGUUCUGGUGAGGACCCUCUUUCUAGGUACAGGCUGCUGACCUCUUGUUGUAUCCUUGCAUGGCAGAAGGUAGAGAGAAGCAAGGUCUCUCGGAACUCUUAAAAGGGC